GAGAUACUGUGUGUGUGUGUGUGUGUGUGUGUGUGUGUGUGUGUGUGUGUGUGUUAUACAUACAUACAUACACACACACACACACACACACACACACACACGUAAAAUAAGUAUUGAACACUU